UGGCCGGUACAAAGAGAAGCGAGGCUGUGAAGCGGAGCAAAUCUCAAAAACCGGUCCCAGUUCGGAUUGUAGGCUGCAACUCGCCUACAUGAAGUCGGAGUUGCUAGUAAUCGCGGAUCAGAAUGCCGCGGUGAAUGCGUUCCCGGGUCUUGUACACACCGCCCGUCACACCAUGGAAGUUGGGGCGCCCGAAGUUGCCUAAGAAAUAAGGUACCUAAGGCGAAACCAAUGACUGGGGUGAAGUCGUAACAAGGUAAC
rnacentral:rRNA from 1 species